GAGUAACACGUGGGCAACCUGCCCUUUGCACUGGGAUAGCCUCGGGAAACCGAGGUUAAUACCGGAUACUCCAUAUUUGUCGCAUGGCGAAUAUGGGAAAGCUCCGGCGGCAAAGGAUGGGCCCGCGGCCUGUUAGCUAGUUGGUGGGGUAGUGGCCUACCAAGGCAAUGAUGGGUAGCCGGGUUGAGAGACCGACCGGCCAGAUUGGGACUGAGACACGGCCCAGACUCCUACGGGAGGCAGCAGGG
rnacentral:rRNA from 1 species